CCUACGGGAGGCAGCAGUGAGGAAUAUUGGUCAAUGGACGAGAGUCUGAACCAGCCAAGUAGCGUGAAGGAUGACUGCCCUAUGGGUUGUAAACUUCUUUUAUAAAGGAAUAAAACGUGGCACGUGUGCCUUUUUGCAUGUACUUUAUGAAUAAGGAUCGGCUAACUCCGUGCCAGCAGCCGCGGUAAUACGGAGGAUCCGAGCGUUAUCCGGAUUUAUUGGGUUUAAAGGGAGCGUAGAUGGGUUGUUAAGUCAGUUGUGAAAGUUUGCGGCUCAACCGUAAAAUUGCAGUUGAUACUGGCAGUCUUGAGUACAGUAGAGGUGGGCGGAAUGCGUGGUGUAGCGGUGAAAUGCUGAGAUAGCACGAAGAACCCCGAUUGCGAAGGCAGCUUACUAGACUGUAACUGACAUUGAUGCUCGAAAGUGUGGGUAUCAAACAGGAUUAGAGACCCGGGUAGUC
rnacentral:rRNA from 1 species